GAUGGGUUGGCUCAGUGGUUAGAGCUUAGGUCUCGUAACCGAAAGGUCUCCGGGAUCGAAUUCCGCUAGAGGCUG
rnacentral:tRNA from 1 species